UACGUAGGGGGCGAGCGUUGUCCGGAGUUACUGGGCGUAAAGGGCAUGCAGGCGGUCGGACGCGUUUCGGGUGACAGCGGGUGGCUUAACUACCCGAGUGGUCGAAAGACGGUUUGGCUUGAGGACGCGAGAGGGACACGGAAUUCCGGGUGGAGUGGUGAAAUGCGUAGAGAUCCGGAGGAACACCGAAGGCGAAGGCAGUGUCCUGGCGCGUAACUGACGCUGAGGUGCGAAAGCCAGGGGAGCGAACGGG
rnacentral:rRNA from 1 species